AAGACUUGUGAAAUAUUAAUUCACAUCCUUUGAAUGCAACUCAACCACUUUAAUUAAGCUAAAAUCUU
rnacentral:tRNA from 1 species